CCUAUUACCGGACCAUCGAGGAGCUGCGCAGCAAGAUUCUUGCCGCAACUGUGGAGAAUGCCAACAUUGUCCUGCAGAUUGACAAUGCCAGGCUGGCAGCUGAUGACUUCAGAACCAAGUUUGAGACGGAGCAGGCCCUGCG